rnacentral:rRNA from 1 species
GACAGAGGGGGCAAGCGUUGCUCGGAAUUACUGGGCGUAAAGGGCGCGUAGGCGGGAUUGCAAGUCGGUCGUGAAAUCCCUCGGCUCAACUGAGGAUCGUCGAUCGAUACUGCCGUUCUUGAGGAUUGCAGAGGAGACUGGAAUUCCCGGUGUAGCGGUGAAAUGUGUAGAGAUCGGGAGGAACACCGGUGGCGAAGGCGGGUCUCUGGGCAAUUCCUGACGCUGAGGCGCGAAAGCGUGGGGAGCAAACGGG